GCUUUCGUAGUACAGUGGUCAGCACGCUGAGCGCGUAUUCCAGAGGUCCGUGGUUCGAGUCCCGGCGAAGGGG
rnacentral:tRNA from 1 species